rnacentral:rRNA from 1 species
AGCAGCCGCGGUAAUUCCAGCUCCAAUAGCGUAUAUUAAAGUUGUUGCAGUUAAAAAGCUCGUAGUUGAAUUUCGGGGUUAGUAGGUUGGUCGUGCCAAUGGUAUGCACUGGCCUCACUGAUUCCUCCUUCUUGAUGAACCUUAAUGCCAUUAAUUUGGUGUUUUGGGGAAUCUGGACUGUUACUUUGAAAAAAUUAGAGUGUUUAAAGCAAGCUAACGCUUGAAUACAUUAGCAUGGAAUAAUGAAAUAGGACGUUCGGUCUUAUUUUGUUGGUUUCUAAGAUUGACGUAAUGAUUAAUAGGGAUAGUUGGGGGCAUUAGUAUUCAAUUGUCAGAGGUGAAAUUCUUGGAUUUAUUGAAGACUAACUACUGCGAAAGCAUUUGCCAAGGAUGUUUUCAUUAAUCAAGAACGAAAGUUAGGGGAUCGAAGACGAUCAGAUACCGUCGUAGUCUUAACCAUAAACUAUGCCGACUAGGGAUCGGAUGAUGUUAAUUUUUAAUGACUCAUUCGGCGCCUUAC